rnacentral:lncRNA from 1 species
CAGAGAGAGAUACUUCAGGGAGGAUAUUGAGCAAAGUAAAGACAGGAAGCCAAAUGCUAAAAGGCAUUAUUGAAUAAAGGAAGACAGGCUUUUUCAGUGAGCUGAACAUCAUACUCUUGCCAGUGAUUUACAUUGAAGGCAAAUCUUCUCCACAUCAAGCAGGAAGGAAUGGGGAAGGAACUCUGCAUGUUGAAACUCAUGUCCAACAUAGAGCAUGUCAUCUGUGUCUGUGUAACCUCCCCUGAGUCCAGCCCAUCGAGCCGGGAACAAGCAGCUCCUCAUAUUGUGAGCAUCGGCUUCGCUGUGUACCUACUUGUUUUG